GCCUGGACCGAUUGUAGUAAAAAGGGCCAGGUCUAAAUUAGGAUUUAUCCAGUAUCAAACACUUUACAAAAACUGUGAACAUUUUGUGAAUUGGUGUAGAUAUGACAGCAAACAAAGCUCUCAGACUCAAACUGCAGUUCUUAGUCUUGGAGCAGCAUCAGGAUAUGCUGGUUUUCUACUUGCUGGGCCCAUUGGAGCCAUAGCCGCUGCAGGUUUUUCUAUGUACAAACUUUAUCAACAUGCGCAGAAAAACACGCCUGACGAUGAGGACGAGAAGCUUUGAACUUAAAACAAACAUUGUUAUUAUACAAGCUUAUUUGACUUCAUUAUUACACUCACACAGUACAACGUAGAACUCAAAUACGAAAUUAUUUUUCAUUACAUUAUGUUAAGUCUGUUUGUUAACUUAACAUUCAGGUGUGGGUGUCAAACGAGUUACAUACCCUGUAAGAGUUUAUUUCCGGUGGAUGUUUAUUGGUUU
rnacentral:sRNA from 1 species